AUUAUUAGCUUACAUGCCCAUUUUAAAUGAAAAAAGAUCUGUAGCAAUUGCAAAAUAGAGAUGGAUAGCAAUAAUAACAAGCAGUUUACAUGCAUUCGACCGAACUUGCAAAAACUGGCAGAUAAUAUAUCAAAUUUAUUACCUAAAAACUCAGCCACAGUUUAUGAAAAGCGGUAUGAAUUUUUUUUUUGCGCAGAAACAACCAUGCAAAAUAUAUGGAGAACACCUCAUUGCAUACGAGUAUUUCGCUGAAAAAGCAAAUUCUGUGAAAUCUUUAACACUUUGGGCUGCAUAGUCGUAGUUAAAGUCAACUCUGUUAAUAAGAAACAGCAUAGAUAUAUCUAAGUACACCAAGUUUUCAAGCAAAAAAUAUAGGUUACAUUGCCAAGAAAUCAAAUAUAUUUACAAGAGAAGACUUACCAAAAUUUUUAACAGAAGCCCGUGAUUAAAUGUCCCCGAUGUUAAAGGUUUAUUUUUUAUUAGAAGUUGUAGGAGCAUGUGGAAUGGAUAAAUUGAAAAAUAAUGACGGCAUUCAAGACAAAAACGAUACGCUAAUAAUUAAAAUUCCAACGUCUAAAACUGGCAAAGCACGAGAAUUUACAAAUAUGUGUAAAAAUAUUUAUCCAAUUGAAAUAUAGUAAAAAUACCUAAUUUUAAGACUGCACCAUACACCAGACAAAU